GUGCAGCAGUCGAGAAAACUUCACACUGUGCGAAAGCACGAUGAGGGAAUCCCAAGUGCUUGCACGUAAGUGUAAGCUGUUUCUCUGUCUAAAACGCAGAGAGAGUAAGGGCUGGGUAAGACGGGUGCCAGCCGCCGCGGUAAUACCUGCAGCUCAAGUGGUGACCGUUAUUAUUGGGCCUAAAACGUCCGUAGCCGGUUUAAUAAAUGCCUGGGUAAAUUGUGUAGCUUAACUAUACGAAUUCCGGGUAGACUGUUAAACUUGAGACCGGGAGAAGUUAGAGGUACUCCUGGGGUAGAGGUGAAAUUCUGUAAUCCUAGGGGGACCACCAGUGGCGAAGGCGUCUAACUAGAACGGGUCUGACGGUGAGGGACGAAGCCCUGGGGCGCAAACGGGAUUAGAUACCCCGUAGU
rnacentral:rRNA from 1 species